rnacentral:rRNA from 1 species
UACAGAGGGGGGCAAGCGUUGUUCGGAAUUACUGGGCGUAAAGAGCGUGUAGGCGGCCAGGUAGGUCGGUUGUGAAAACUGGAGGCUCAACCUUCAGAGGUCGACCGAAACCAUCUGGCUAGAGUCCGGGAGAGGAGAGUGGAAUUCCUGGUGUAGCGGUGAAAUGCGCAGAUAUCAGGAAGAACACCCGUGGCGAAAGCGGCUCUCUGGAACGGUACUGACGCUGAGACGCGAAAGCGUGGGGAGCGAACAGG